UGGAAGAUUGAUACUCGAAAAAGAGACAUAUUUUAUUCUUUUACUCGACACAUACUCUUCCAAUAAUAAUAAAGCUUUCUGAUGACUGUAAAUUGUCAAGUAUUAUUUUACAGACAGAUACGAGGCUAACAUGA